UACGAGGGGGGCAAAUGUUGUUCGGAAUCACUGGGCGUAAAGGGAGCGUAGGCGGUUUUUUAAGUUAGGUGUUUAAUCCCGGGGCCCAACCCCGGACAGGCACCUAAAACUGGAAAACUUGAAUAGGGGAGAGGUCGGUGGAAUUGGAGGUGUAGCGGUGGAAUGCGUAGAGAUCUCCAAGAACACCAGUUGCGAAGGCGGCCGACUGGACCCAUAUUGACGCUGAGGCUCGAAAGCAUGGGGAGCAAAC
rnacentral:rRNA from 1 species